rnacentral:lncRNA from 10 species
GCCUUUUCUUGCUUUUUUUUGCUUUAUGGAACUGGCUGGAACUUUCUAGUACAAUGCUGAAUAGAAGCGGUAGGGACUGUUAUUAGUGCCCUCAUUUUACACAUGGAGAAACUGAGACACGGAGCAUUUAAGAAGCUUACCCCUGUUUCCCCGGUUGUUGAGUGGUGGAGCCAGGCCUGGAACCUGCUUUACCUGGCUACUGAGUGAUAAACCUCCUUGAACCUGGCUCUUAACCACAAUCAAUACCACUCACUGUGGUGCGUGAACCACUUCAAGAUGACUUGACGUUGCGUGAGCCGGUUUGGUCUGCUUUUGCCAGCAUGAGCUGCUUGUGCUGGCGUUACCCGCACACAACCUUGAUUUUGGUGAUUCCAAUCGACAGAUGGAGCUCAGGCCUCGUGGAUCCUCCUUGAACUGGAAGCCCACUGUAUUUCUUUCCCAGGGCUGCUAUGAUGAACUGCUACAAACGUGGCUGCUUAACACAACAGAAGUUAAUUUUCUCAGUUCUGGGGGCCAGAAGUCCAAAAUCAAGGUGUCGGCCAGGCUAUUCUCCCUCUGUAUCCAGAGGAUCAGGGAGAAUCUGUUCCUUGCCUCCUCCAGCUUCUGGUGGCUCCAGGUGUUCCUCGAAUUGUGGCCACAGAGCUCUGAUCUCAGCCUCUGGGGCCACAUUGCCUCUUCCUUUCCUGUCUGUGCCCUCUGGGGUCUCUCAUAAGGACAUUGUCAACAGAUUUAGGGUCCACCCAGAUAACCCAGGAUGAUCUCCUUAUCUCAAAAUCCUUAACUUAAUUACAUCCAAAAGGACUCUUUUUCCAAAUAAGGUCACAUUCACAAGUUCUGGGGAUUAGAACAUGGAUAUAUCUUUUUUGAGACCUCCAUUCAACUCAUUACAACCAAAAGGCCACACCACAGUAUUUGACCCUGAGAACCCAGCUCUUAAAACUGAUUCUUCCUGUUGGAUGAGUAUUCGCCCAGCUAUUGGGGUUUCAUCACUGUCUGCUUGGGGAUCAGAAAAGGAAGAGUGUCAAAUGUGCUUGGAGCCAUGGAAGAGC